GUGGGGAAUAUUGGACAAUGGGCGCAAGCCUGAUCCAGCAAUGCCGCGUGGGUGAUGAAGGCCUUCGGGUUGUAAAGCCCUUUUGGCGGGGACGAUGAUGACGGUACCCGCCGAAUAAGCUCCGGCUAACUUCGUGCCAGCAGCCGCGGUAAUACGAAGGGAGCUAGCGUUGUUCGGAAUUACUGGGCGUAAAGGGCGCGUAGGCGGCUUCGAUAGUCAGGCGUGAAAUCCCCAGGCUCAACCUGGGAAUUGCGCUUGAUACUGCGAGGCUUGAGUGAGGGAGAGGAUAGUGGAAUUCCCAGUGUAGAGGUGAAAUUCGUAGAUAUUGGGAAGAACACCAGUGGCGAAGGCGGCUAUCUGGACCUCAACUGACGCUGAGGCGCGAAAGCGUGGGGAGCAAACAGGAUUAGAAACCCUAGUAGUCC
rnacentral:rRNA from 1 species